rnacentral:rRNA from 1 species
CAGUAGCCGCGGGAAAACGAAGGGGGCUAGCGUUGUUCGGAUUUACUGGGCGUAAAGCGCACGUAGGCGGACUUUUAAGUCAGGGGUGAAAUCCCGGGGCUCAACCCCGGAACUGCCUUUGAUACUGGGAGUCUUGAGUUCGAGAGAGGUGAGUGGAAUUGCGAGUGUAGAGGUGAAAUUCGUAGAUAUUCGCAGGAACACCAGUGGCGAAGGCGGCUCACUGGCUCGAUACUGACGCUGAGGUGCGAAAGCGUGGGGAGCAAACAGGAUUAGAUACCCGCGUAGUCCCUGUCUCUUAUAC